AACAGCAAAAAAAGAGCACCCAUCUUUUUCCUGCCACUCCUGCCUGCAUCCUCCCAUCCUCAAAGAGAAGCCCUCCACCUCUCCCUUGUGCUCUGGAGGUGCACAGAGACCUACAAGACUGUAGGGCAAACCUGCAAAAGAAGGCCGCAGCAACUCGUUGGACAUCCCCAGUUUGGUGAGAGCAGAGAACACCUGUCCUCUCUCAAUCCAAGCAUCGUCAUCAGAUCUUUCAAUACCUUUCCACAUUAUACACAGCAGGAUGUCUCCCCGAUGCUUUCCUGUUUCAACAUUUGAAACUGCAGUCUGAAGCCCAAUUGAAAAGCUCACGAAAACACAAAUACAAGAGAUUGGGGCUUGCUUGUACAAUGUAAAACAAGCUGACUUUAGCCACCCUUGAUUUUUUCACAGCAUGUCUGCUCCAUGCAUCCUCUGCAUGAUAAAGGAUGUUUAAAUAUAGAAGGGGAGAAGAGUUUGCAGGAGGGUUUUUUGUGGUUUCCUGUGGCUGGGAGGGGAAGUUGGUUCUAUUUUGGUUGGUUGUAUUUUUUAAAUACCAAAGCUAUCCCAACUGGACAAUCAAAAACCAAGACACAUUACAAAAGGAAGUACCCCAUUCACUAUAAAAGAGCCAUAUUGUUCACCUUUCUGUCGGAUGAUAGGAGGGACAAAAAAGGUAAUAAUUAUUCAUUAAAGAACCAAAAGAAAUUUGCAACAGUUGGAGAAACCAGUCACAU